CUAUAUGAGACAGAGACCAUUUUUAAUCGUAUAAAUACUGGGAACUAUAUUCUCACUAGGCGUAGGAGCACAGCUAAUGUUACUUGGGCGGAGUGGCUACUUGGGCGGAGUGAUUAGCGCAGCACACGAGACGCCCUGUUGAUGGUUCCGUAAACAAAACAAACGUGACUAACUAGCUAGACGUGACUCCUGAUAAUGGCUGACUUUGAGGAAUUGUCAGACUCAGAGGAAUUUUACUGUGUAUCAAACCAAGAUCCAGAACCAUAUAGUUUUGAGCCAGAAUACACGGACGAGGAGUUACAAACUUUGGAAGCUGUAAGACAAGAUGCCGAACAGAUUGAUGUCGAAGGGAGAAUCAGAACGAACACGGACUGGUGGUGUAAAUGUGGAACAUGCCAACCUAUGCCGACAGAAACCGAGUGCCUUUGUUGUAAUUAAUGGGACCGGGUAUUGCCAUCAAUGUCAAGGCUUGAUGACAAUCAAAAUAUUUGCGUCACUACCACGGAAGAUUUCUCUGCCCUAAUACACCUGGCAGUUGUCAUUUUUUUUUCCCAUUGUGACAAGAUCAACUGGAAGAAACGCCCCAUGCCAAGUGAACCUAAUGGUCAGCUGUCCACCAAUUCCUUGGGGAGAUUUAACAAUGAUGUCUGGGUCAUUUGUACAGCAUUGCUUAAGCUGUAUAGGCUUUGUCAUUGUUUAAUGAUAUUGAAACCACAACAGUGAAACAGUGAAAACAUCUUAAGCAUAAAGUGACUAAAUCACAAGGAAUUAGGACAUGACCCAGGCUGGAUUCUGAGUUCCUGUGAUUCAACACCUCUACUUAGACUUUCUGCUAUUCAUUAAAUUGCAGCUUUCCUUUUUUCCCACUUUUUCUCCAAGUGUAUGCCCAUCAUCUACUGUUGCUUUGUAAUUUACUUGUUCAUAAGUACCAGUCCCCCUGUAAUUCAGACAUCCUUGCAAACUUGUAAUUCAUUGUCAUGCAACAUAAUUUGAAAACAUGAUUUCUGACUACAUUGUGUUAGUUUCAUUUCAGUGUGCAUGUAAAAUGUCUGUGUUACACAACGUGUUGAUAAAUGGAUGCACACCACAAAUCUUCAGUUACUGUGGUAUAAGUGAAAAUUUCAGACUGAUCAAAUGACACACAAUGAUCACAAUGCACCUUGACUUUCCCAUGCUCCUCACUUACAAAUACAGUUUAAUGAGCUCUCUCGCUCCCAUUGUUUGCCUUUUCUUUGCGUAUUCAAAGAAAAGCAGUUUUCUGUCAAUUCCACAUCUCAAAACGUGAGCUGUUUUUCUAAAGGAUGUUUUUCCAAUAGACUCUAUACUUGUACUGCAAUAACUGUUGAUUGCCACUAUUAAACUAACUGGAUAAUGCAUACUGACUGUACAUGUGGGUUCCAGUAUCCAGAUAAUGAUAAAAUGUGAUGUAUGUGUUGGUUCUAUUCUCGACUACAUUGUAUGUUCCUUGGGAAAUUCCCACUGGCUUUAUAGGCAGUAUGGGAAUCUGGAGCUUAGUGAUCAGCUCAGAACUCAAUGAUUUACAUCAAAUUUAACUAAAAUGCUGAAGCAUUUUCACACACUAAAU
ensembl:lncRNA